rnacentral:snRNA from 1 species
GGAUCCGAGGACAUGAGGGUGAUCACCCCAUUGAUCACCAGGGUUGACUUGGCUGAUCUGCUUGGCUAGGUGAGUGUCCCCUUCUUCCAUUCCUCUCCCCUCCAUGUGCAAUUUCUGGUGCCUCACUUAGCUGAGUGCACCCAGUCGAAGACGAUGACCUUCCCCAAAUAGAGGAAGACUGGUCUUCAGUCAAGGGUCUAUGAGUAGCUCCACUCCCCUGUGAGAACCUCUAAAUGAGGUGUCAAGACUGGAUCUGAGCAAGAGUAAUGACCUGAAGCAUCUGGGGAACAUCAGCUGGACAUGGACAGUCACAAGCAUAGCUAGGAAGGGAGCCCAUCCUCCUCACUUG